GAAAGCUCAGUCGGUACAGCACUAGACUCUUAAUCUCAGGGUUAUGGGUUUGAGCUCCACAUUGGGCAACA